rnacentral:rRNA from 1 species
GACGAACGCUGGCGGCGUGCCUAAUACAUGCAAGUCGAGCGAAUCAAAGGGAGCUUGCUCCUGGAGAUUAGCGGCGGACGGGUGAGUAACACGUGGGCAACCUGCCCUGUAGACUGGGAUAACAUCGAGAAAUCGAUGCUAAUACCGGAUAACACCUUUCUUCUCAUGGAGGAAGGUUAAAAGUUGGGAUUACUAACACUACAGGAUGGGCCCGCGGCGCAUUAGCUAGUUGGUAAGGUAAUGGCUUACCAAGGCGACGAUGCGUAGCCGACCUGAGAGGGUGAUCGGCCACACUGGGACUGAGACACGGCCCAGACUCCUACGGGAGGCAGCAGUAGGGAAUCUUCCGCAAUGGACGAAAGUCUGACGGAGCAACGCCGCGUGAGUGAUGAAGGUUUUCGGAUCGUAAAGCUCUGUUGUUAGGGAAGAACAAGUGCCGUUCGAAUAGGUCGGCACCUUGACGGUACCUAACCAGAAAGCCACGGCUAACUACGUGCCAGCAGCCGCCGUAAGAC